CCUACGGGAGGCGCAGUGGGGAAUAUUGGACAAUGGGCGAAAGCCUGAUCCAGCAAUUCCGCGUGUGUGAAGAAGGCCUUCGGGUUGUAAAGCACUUUAAGCAGGGAAGAAAAGCUUGGCCACACCAAGCCUUGACGGUACCUGAAGAAUAAGCACCGGCUAACUCUGUGCCAGCAGCCGCGGUAAUACAGAGGGUGCAAGCGUUAAUCGGAUUUACUGGGCGUAAAGGGUGCGUAGGUGGUUUGAUAAGUCGGAUGUGAAAGCCCCGGGCUCAACCUGGGAACUGCAUUCGAUACUGUCAGACUCGAGUUCGGUAGAGGGCGGUGGAAUUUCUGGUGUAGCAGUGAAAUGCGUAGAUAUCAGAAGGAACAUCAAUGGCGAAGGCAGCCGCCUGGGCCUGGACUGACACUGAGGCACGAAAGCGUGGGUAGCAAACAGGAUUAGAUACCCUGGUAGUCCCGACGACCGUAACGAUAGAGAACGUAGUACGUUAGGUAGUUGUUUACUUACUUACUAGUGUCGUAGU
rnacentral:rRNA from 1 species